GGUCCUGUGGUAGCGGUUAACAUGCCUGCCUGUCACGCAGGAGAUCGCGGGUUCGAAUCCCGUCAGGACCGCCA
rnacentral:tRNA from 1 species